AAAACAUCGACGCCAUUUUGUGUUGACUUUGGACCGGCUUCUCUCGUUUAUCGAGUACGUUAGUUCGACGAAUUUCUAGUAAUUUGAGCCGAUUUCGUUGUCUUCUUAUCGUUUCCAUUUCCAUAACGUGAAGGGUAAUGUGAAGAACCUUGCAUUGCUUCAUUUUAAACCGGGAAGUGGCAAGAAUUGGAUAUAUUUCCCCGGAUCAAACUGAACGACCCCAGCCAUGUCACGCUUUUCAUCCGAUACAAAAGUAUACGUGGGUGAAUUGGGAUCUAAUGCAUCACAAACAGAGCUUGAAGAUGCAUUUUCACACUAUGGACCACUGAGGAAUGUUUGGGUAGCAAGAAAUCCACCAGGCUUUGCUUUUGUGGAGUUUGAAGACCCCAGAGAUGCCAAGGAGUCCAUCAAGGCUCUUGAUGGCACCCGGGUUUGCGGCCACCGUGUGGUGGUGGAGCUUUCGAAUGGCCGCAAACGGAACCGUGCCGGUGGCAUGGGCGGCGGCCGUGAUCAGCGAGACAUGGCCGGCUUCCGGGGCGGCGCGCCGCCGCCGCGCCGGCCCCGCUUCGACCCCAACGACCGAUGUUACGAGUGCGGCGAACGUGGCCACUACGCGUACAACUGCCACCGUCGCCGCAGCGGCCGCGGCAGGGGGUGACAGGUGCUCGUGCGCCCGCCCCGUGAACCCGACACACACUGAGAGAGAGCGCGCGAGCGCGAGAGAGAGAGUGCGACCCCGCCGUUAGCGUGUCAGCGAGUCAGAGCGAGACGACCCCUCCCGCCUCGGCUCUGCCGUGUGGUCGCCUCGCCUGCCCGCCGCCUCGGCUGGCCGGCCGCCUCGCCUCGGCUCGUCGUCCGACUGUGUGCCCCGUGACAGCUCGCCACCUGGGUCGUCCGCCACGACUGUGUAGAGUUCUGUCGGCUGACGACACGCACGUUCCAUCCCACGAGUGCAGACACGGGCUAGGUCGGCCUCGCGAUCUCGCAGCCGCUCGCGGUCUCCGCGCCGCAGCCGCAGCCGCAGCCGGGACCGGCGCACGCGGUCUCGCAGCCGCAGCAAGGACCGCUCCAGGAGCCGGGACAGGUCCAGGUCUCGCUCCCGUUCUCGCGGCCGCGGCGGUCGGUCCCGCUCCCCGUCCGCCAACGGACGUGCCUAGCCGGUCUCCCCGCGGCCCCUGCCCCUCCCCCAGUGUACCCUCCUCCCCUCCCCCUCACCCGGCCCCGGUGUCGGCCCGCGCCGGCCGGCCAAGACAUGGACGGAUACUGCUCGCGACAUACGCGCUUCGCUUCGCUGUCUGCCAGCCGCGCUGUAGAUACUUCAGCUGGUGUCUUGUAUCGGUGUAACUCGGCAUCGCGGUACGUUCUAGCUCAGCGGGCAGUCCGGUCUCAAUAAAUGUCGUCUCAUACCGUC